AACUCUCAACCCCCUCAUUUUGUAAUGAAAUGCAGCGUGGGCUUGGUUUAUGGCUGUUUGUCGGCGUAAAUGCCGGCUCAGCUGAAAUACACGAGCAACCCAGUUUAAAACCCUGACGGCUUGACUCGGCGUAAUAACUAUUUCGCUGAGGACGUCUAACCUUUAAAUCGUUAGUGGUGCUUCUAAUUCAUUUAUAAUUUAAGC
rnacentral:misc_RNA from 1 species